CACACAACCCUAUCAGGAUCACCUCCCACUCCUCUCUCUCAUUCUCCUAGAUCCGCCACCGCCCCCUCCCCCACCAACCCCCUGCCGGUGUGUGACCUCUCCCGUCAUCUCGCUGGCCGGCGAGCCUGCCGCCUCCCUUCACCGCCACCAGCUCCCCAGCAUGGCUUACCUCCCUCUUCCCCGCUUCCUACACUGCAUCUCCAUCGGGCCCUCCUCGACCCCCUCUUCUUCUCCCCGGCCUCGUCCACCGCAUCGGGCACCCAUGGAUCUGCCGCCACUUCUCAAGGGGUGCCCUCUGAUGACCGAUUCAUGGUGCUGCCAGCCAGAUCCGCGCGGUGACCCAGGGGUACUGAUGCCGUGCACCCAGCCGCCGCCACGCCCGACCACCAGGGCAACUAGACGGUGCUCCCGUCUGCGAGAAAAUCACCCGCGCGGGCAAGGCGCUGAGCGCCGUGCUGGUGACGGUGCUACUACGCCUGGCCGCCAUCACGGACGUGAUUGUCGCCUCUAACGCUCCCGCCUACCGAGUGGCGCUGGAGCACCCAUGCCUCUUCCAUGCCGACCUCCGUUCCAUGCUUCGCCCCGUCGGCGCCCUGCUCGUCGCCUUCCUCCUCGGAUCCUUUACGCACUACAUCAACUCCGACCUGUGUCACUGCCGUCAACCUCCUCUCCAGCGGCAAGAUAAUUUGGUCAUGGUGACCCAUAUGAUGGCGAUUUGCUCUGGCCAUCUUAGUUCUGGCGGUGGUGGUGGCGCUGCUCCUAUGAUGGUAGGCUCGUCUGCCUCCCCUGGCCGCCGCCGUGGUGAUGAAGCUCGGCCUAGGCUACAACCCCCUCCGAUGAUUGAUGAGCUGAUCUUCUUCCACCAGUUGUAGCGGGAGUGAUGCUGGAGCAGUACAACGAUCAUUAGAUACAUGUGCCAUUUGGGCAGGGAGAAGCUGGGACGGCCCUAAGUAACACCACCAUGUGGCAAAUCCAGCAGAUGGACACAACAUUGGUGCCUGGGUGAUGGGAUAAUGUAUGUGUACCAGUGACAUGAUAUUUGUGCUUCUCGUCCAAUCUAUAUUGUUGUGCACUUGUGUACUUGUUGGGCCUUUUUGCCGUGCACUUGCAAUUUUAGAACUAUUUUUUUGUUGUUGUGCACUUCUUGGUCCUUGAACCUUGCUGUGUAUAGGAGUCAAUGGAUGAUGUAUUGUAUUUCCUAUGAUGUGUUACUGAAAUGAAAUAUACUGUUUUUUUGGAAA